rnacentral:rRNA from 1 species
GUCUACGGCCACGCCACCCUGAACGAGCCCGAUGUCUGAGCUCAGAAGCUAAGCAGGGUUGGGCCUGGUGUUAGUACUUGGAUGGGAGACCACCUAGGAAGACCAGGUGCUGCAGGCG